AUACAGAGGGUGCAAGCGUUAUUCGGAAUUACUGGGCGUAAAGCGCGCGUAGGCGGAUGAUUAAGUCAGUUGUGAAAGCCCUGGGCUCAACCUAGGAACUGCAUCUGAUACUGGUCAUCUAGAGUUUAAGAGAGGGAAGUGGAAUUCCAGGUGUAGCAGUGAAAUGCGUAGAUAUCAGGAGGAACAUCAGUGGCGAAGGCGACUUCCUGGCUUAGAACUGACGCUGAGGUGCGAAAGCGUGGGUAGCGAACGGGAUUAGAAACCCUAGUAGUCC
rnacentral:rRNA from 1 species